AGCGUAUAACUUUCAACAGCAGCAAGAUUGUCUUUUUCUCUACAAUAAUAUAGCAGGAAAUCUAGAACUGAAGACCACAGCAGGAUCUUGACAGAUCGCCCCUACACCCAAUAAAGAAGACUCAUGAGACUCACAGUUGGGAGAAUGACAUAUUUAUUUAAAAUACAACACAUCUGGAGAACCUGCAGACCAAAUGAACUAAAUUCAAGCUGCUCAGGCAGCUGAAGAGACUAACAAGCAACUCCUUACUAUAUAUAACCUAGUAGGGAAGAUGUGAAAUUUCUCAAGUUCCAAGGAGCUUUCAGAAGUCUUACAGAGAUGGUUUCAGACCACAUGGGAUUAUUCCUCAGCAGCAUCUAUAUUUCUGACCAAACUCAAUUACUUCUAUACUGAAGUGACUUGUUCUAAACAA